ACAGUAUACCUAAGUGCCGAGAAUCCAUGCACAUUUUUUUUUUUUUUUUUUUGCUAAAAAUGUUAAUAUUUCAUAAAAAUGAAAAAUGUUUAGGUUUACAAUCGAUGAUCAUAGACCUAAAGAGAUGGUCCCAUAGCAAAAAAGUUAAAAACAUGGAAGCAUAAACCAUAACUAGAACUCGGUCCAUCUACUCGACCAAAGCACGAAGCUAAAGGAGUUAGAUGAAGCGAAGACGAUUUCGAUUGUUCAUUCCGGAUUUGUUGUUGGAGCUGAAAGGCGAGCGCACAGAAGAAGAAGCCUAACUACGAAAGACUGAUAACAUUAGAAGCCUUUCACUGGACGUCCGAGACCGGGCCGUCAACGGCAGAUAACUCAAAGUCCUCAACCACAUACGCCUUUUCCGUCAUGUGAGAGCAACCCGAAAAUCAAAUCCAUGAGCUUUUCCAGAACGAAACCUCACUAACCAAAUUAUACAAUAGAUGUGAGCUCACUCUACCAAGUUCA
rnacentral:lncRNA from 1 species